rnacentral:hammerhead_ribozyme from 1 species
GCACUUCUGAGGAGUCCAAUACUAGGACGAAACAACCGUCAAGUGC